GCCGAGGUGGUGAAAUUGGUAGACACACUAGCUUCAGGUGCUAGCGGGGGCAACCUCGUGGAGGUUCAAGUCCUCUCCUCGGCACCA
rnacentral:tRNA from 1 species